rnacentral:rRNA from 1 species
CAGUCGCCGCGGUAAUACGUAGGGUGCAAGCGUUAAUCGGAAUUACUGGGCGUAAAGCGUGCGCAGGCGGUUAUAUAAGACAGAUGUGAAAUCCCCGGGCUCAACCUGGGAACUGCAUUUGUGACUGUAUAGCUAGAGUACGGCAGAGGGGGAUGGAAUUCAGCGUGUAGCAGUGAAAUGCGUAGAUAUGCGGAGGAACACCGAUGGCGAAGGCAAUCCCCUGGGCCUGUACUGACGCUCAUGCACGAAAGCGUGGGGAGCAAACAGGAUUAGAUACCCCCGUAGUCCCUGUCUCUUAUAC